UACUCCGUUUCCCGCCUGAUAACCAGUUUUCUCUGCAACGCAACGCGACGUCGCGUCCGCUCGGUGGCCAAGUGUACAUGCAGUUUGCAGCUCUAUCAUUUAUUUCCUUAAUUGCUUGUGACAGUGUAGAGUUGUUUGAUUAGUAUAAGCUGAGCGGUUAGGGAGAGUAAAGUGUUAUGAUUAACCAAAUUAAUAUGCAAGAUAACAAAUCCAAAAGGACCUAACAAAAAUGGAUAAAGCCAAUCUGCACAAGCUGCUCGGUUAUCCUGAGCAUUGGGAAUUAUAACCAUCUGCAAUACUGUAGUGUGCAUUCAGCAAGUGAGAGGAUGGCAGCUAUUCACAGCUGAACCUCCUAUUGUAUAUUCCUGCAGUCAGUCAUAAAUGCAAACAUAUCAGUUGAGUGAAAGCAUCACCAACCCAGCAGUAAGACCGAAUCGGUAUUCCUGUGGUUACCACUGAGCCAUAUGUACAGCUAAUAAACCACUAAGCGGAAGGUGAAAUGGAGCUAAACUAAAUAUUUACACUAAGACAAAUGAAAGGACGCUGAUGCACUAGGCAGAAGGUGAAAAAGAGCUUAUCUCAACAUUUGCACUAAGCCACUAAGCAGAAGGUGAAAUGGAGCUAAAUUCAACAUUUAAACUGAGCCAAGGUACCUUAGCUUAAUAGUUAUCUACAACCAAAUACAAUAAUUUUACAUGAUUUAAUCAUUUUUCCAUAUUGCUACAAAAAUCUGCCAAUAAAUCUGGGAAUUGUACUUCAUCCUAAAUUAAACUUCUUCGAUUAUAUUGACAAAGCUUAAAAAAAUUGAGCAGCUGUUGUUUUUAAUGUACAAACUGACUUGUUUUGCUAGUGAGAAAAUUCUUUUACUCACCUAUUAUGGAUGUUUUUAUCUUAACUAUGGAUAGCCUAUAUGGGGAUGUCAGAGUAAAAACAUUCAAUAUAUCUUACGUCAGCAAAAAAGAGCUAUAAGGAUCAUUUUCAAAUUAAGUCAUGUACAGUCCUGUAAAAAUGUCUUUCGUCAAAACAAUAUUCUGACUUUCCCAUAUAUUUGCAUUUUUUAAUAUCUUUCACUUUACAAGAAGUAUUCAUAAAACUUCACUGUCACCAACAAUGCUAUUCAUACCUUAUCUUACCUUGCCACAAUAAAAAAGUAUUUGAAAAUCAGA